rnacentral:RNase_P_RNA from 1 species
GGAGUCGGCCAGACAGUCGCGUCAUCCUUUCGGGGAUGCCGAGGAAAGUCCGGGCUCCACAGGGCAAGGUGCCAGGUAACGCCUGGGCGGCGCAAGCCGACGGAAAGUGCAACAGAAAGAUACCGCCGAACGGUCCUUCGGGAUGCGUGGUAAGGGUGAAAUGGUGCGGUAAGAGCGCACCGCGAGUCUGGCAACAGACCGGCACGGCAAACCCCACCUGGAGCAAGACCAAAUAGGGACCUAAUGGCGUGGCCCGCGUCGGGUCCGGGUAGGUUGCUUGAGCGUAUCGGUGACGGUGCGCCUAGAGGAAUGACUGUCCACGACAGAACCCGGCUUAUCGGCCGGCUCCGCCA